UACAGAGGGUGAAAGCGUUGUUCGGAAUUAUUGGGCGUAAAGCGCGUGUAGGCGGCUUUGCAAGUCGGGUGUGAAAGCCCUCGGCUCAACCGAGGAAGUGCGCCCGAAACUGCAGAGCUUGAGUACCGGAGAGGAUGGCGGAAUUCCCCAAGUAGAGGUGAAAUUCGUUGAUAUGGGGAGGAACACCGGUGGCGAAGGCGGCCAUCUGGACGGAUACUGACGCUGAGACGCGAAAGCGUGGGUAGCAAACAGG
rnacentral:rRNA from 1 species